GGGUCAGUAGGUUGGUCGUGCCACCGGUACGUACUGGUCUCACUGAUUCCUCCUUCCUGAAGAACCGUAAUGCCAUUAAUUUGGUGUUGCGGGGAAACAGGACUGUUACUUUAAAAAAAUUAGAGUGUUUAAAGCAAGCUAACGCUUGAAUACAUUAGCAUGGAGUAAUGAAAUAGGACGAUCGAUCCUAUUUUGUUGGUUUCUAGGAUUGACGUA
rnacentral:rRNA from 1 species